rnacentral:rRNA from 1 species
GACGUAGGGCGCGAGCGUUGUCCGGAUUUAUUGGGCGUAAAGAGCUCGUAGGCGGCUUGUCACGUCGGGUGUGAAAACCCGAGGCUCAACCUCGGGCCUGCAGUGGGUACGGGCAGACUAGAGUGCGGUAGGGGAGAUUGGAAUUCCUGGUGUAGCGGUGGAAUGCGCAGAUAUCAGGAGGAACACCGAUGGCGAAGGCAGAUCUCUGGGCCGUAACUGACGCUGAGGAGCGAAAGCAUGGGGAGCGAACAGG